CUGAAUAGUUCACUCUUCUGCCAUGAAUAUUGAGGGCAGGGGGGCCAUUCAGUGUGUGGGGGUGUCUAUCAGAGUCUAGUGAGCUUGAAUUCAGGUCUAGGCUAGAAUGGAGGCAGAGGGAACAGCAGAGUCACGCUCAAGUGACAUUUGGGAUCUUAGAAGCAGUCAGGGGUAAGUAAGGAGGGGGCCAAGGAUAGAGCAAACUUGAGCCUGGGAGACUGGAAAGAGGAAGAUAUUCCUAACGAGAGUUUUUUAGGGGGUGAGCAGAGAGGAGGUGUUUUUGGUGGCAAGGCUUCUUUGGGAAGCAGCCCACCUCCGUCCCUGGAGGUGCUGUCCUGGAUGACGGUGGUGACGGUGGCUAACUCUGGCAUAGAGCCUGGGUCUCUGACCCCAGGGCCAGCACCAGGGAGUGAGUGUGACCUUAGGCUCUCCCCUCUCAGAACUUCAGCCCUGACCCCUCCCUUGAGAAGGGUCUGAGGUCGGCCACCUCCUGGCCACAAGCCUGCUCAUGACCCUGCCCCUGGAACUCACCCAGGAAGUGAACAGGGGCAUCUGACUCCCGGUACCACCCGCGUGGCCUCAGGCCGGAGGGGAGUGGGAAGGAAGGUCAGGAGCGGCACCUCUGGCAUCCCCUCCCCACGCCUGCCUGCAGCUCCUGCGGCCAUGGGGGUUUGUGGGAGGCACUUUAGGUGAUGCUGAGAAACCACAGGAAUGACGCGGCCUUCUGGGAAGCUGUGCUGGAGAGGAAAGCAGGUGAGAGCCGGGAGGGGGGGCUCGUGCUGGCCGAGGCCUCUCCUGUGGGAGCCUCCUGCUUCCCCCCCCGGGCGCCUAAGCCUGUGAAACCCUGGUGUGUGCUGCACUGGCCCGGUAAGGAGGAGGCCCCCCUUCACUUCUCUCAGGUUUGGUUUUUUACAAGAUUCAUUUAUUAACUAUGAUACAGAUCACAUAAGGCCUUUUGUUUUUUACACCAUUCCCAUUGAGACAAGUACAAUACUUUGUAGCAAAUACAUGAUUCUUUUUAUGCAAACAAUAACUUAGG
rnacentral:lncRNA from 1 species